rnacentral:rRNA from 1 species
UACAGAGGGGGCAAGCGUUAUUCGGAAUUAUUGGGCGUAAAGGGCGCGUAGGCGGCCUGGCAAGUGGAAGGUGAAAUCCCUCGGCUUAACCGAGGAACUGCCCUCCAAACUGCUUGGCUUGAGUCCGGGAUAGGUGAGUGGAAUUCCCAGUGUAGCGGUGAAAUGCGUAGAUAUUGGGAGGAACACCACUGGCGAAGGCGGCUCACUGGACCGGAACUGACGCUGAGGCGCGAAAGCGUGGGGAGCAAACGGG